GACGAACGCUGGCGGCGUGCCUAACACAUGCAAGUCGAACGAAGAAUGUUUUUCGGAAUAUUCUUAGUGGCGGACGGGUGAGUAACGCGUGAACAAUCUGCCCCGUACAAAGGGGAUAGCCUCGGGAAACCGGGAUUAAAACCAUAUAACGCUUUAGUACCGCAUGGUAAUAAAGUCAAAUCGAUUAAGAGGUAUGGGAUGAGUUCGCGUCUGAUUAGCUAGUUGGUGAGGUAAGGGCUCACCAAGGCGACGAUCAGUAGCCGGCCUGAGAGGGUGAACGGCCACACUGGAACUGAGACACGGUCCAGACUCCUACGGGAGGCAGCAGUGGGGAAUAUUGCACAAUGGAGGGAACUCUGAUGCAGCGACGCCGCGUGAGUGAAGAAGGUCUUCGGAUCGUAAAACUCUGUCCUUGGUGAAGAAAGGACGGUAGCCAAGGAGGAAGCCCCGGCUAACUACGUG
rnacentral:rRNA from 1 species